rnacentral:rRNA from 1 species
UACAGAGGUCCCAAGCGUUGUUCGGAUUCAUUGGGCGUAAAGGGUGCGUAGGCGGUGGGGUAAGUUGGAUAUGAAAUCUUGGGGCUUAACCUCAAAAUUGCAUUCAAUACUGCUCCGCUCGAGUUCUGUAGAGGAGAUUGGAAUUUACGGUGUAGCAGUGAAAUGCGUAGAUAUCGUAAGGAACGCCAGUGGCGAAAGCGAAUCUCUGGGCAGCAACUGACGCUGAGGCACGAAGGCCAGGGGAGCAAACGGG